ensembl:lncRNA
CCCGUGCGCAGCCCCGCGCCUCUCCCCGCGCUCGGCAGGUGAGCCGGCAGCUCCGCACCUGCUGCUACGCGCAAUCAGGAGAUGCUCGCACAAGAGGCACUGACGCGGCUCUUCCUCAAUCAGCGGCUCUUCACGCCCAGCUCCGCGCCACUCGCUGCUGAUUGCCCUUUGUCUCCCGCAAGGCCGCGCGCUGCGCCGCUCUCCUCUCCCCGUAUCCCUGCGGAUCCCGGCGGGGAGCGGUGCCGGGGGGUCGCGGGGGUGCGGGGCCGUGGUCCGGUUGGGCUCCUGCGGGGCGCCGGGCGCAGCGUGGGAUGGGGCAGCUCGCUCCCAUCCGCGGUGCUGGAGCGCGGCCGAGCGCCGGGGAGCGGCGCACCUAAAUCUCCCCUGCCUGUCCCUCCAGAGAUGUCCCCCUUUAUUCACAACUGCUUUUUAAUUGCCUUUUGUCAAUUACAGCAAGAUGGAUCGGGUUCCUCAGGGAGGCAGUAAUUAGCGCGGGGAUGAAUGCCGAGGCAGCCAAGCUCCCUCUUCACACGGCGGUGGUGAUUUGUAAACCUGUCACCAAACCGCUGAACCCGGCUUGGCGUGAGCAGCUCCAUCUCUGCAGCACGUGGCUGUGCGGCUCAGGUGAUGGGUGAGGCUCAGGGUGAGGGUGAGGCUCAGGAUUAGCAGCAGAGGGGUCUGGAUCCCAGGCGGGGUUGCCCUGCCUCACCUGCAGUGCCCGCACCGCCGCUCUCCUGACUCCCUUCCACCCUCCCACUCUGCUUCGUGGCUUUCGUCUAAUUCCCUACGCCCCUCUCCUAUUUUUCUUCUUGACAGAAGAAGCAGGCUCAUGCAUCUAGAAACUCUACGGCCUUUCUUGUAGCUGCAGAUUAAAUUUCCUUGCUCAGUGCCUGCUGGCCACAGGCCGUGCCACUAUACCUGGGUGUACGCCCCAUCCCCAGCCCGGGGGAGAGGUCAGCAUGGGGGGGGGGGGAGGGGGAGGGGCACAGCGGGGGAGGCUGCUUGGGGCCAAAAGCCCCGUGUUUGGGUCCGAGGGCUCUGUGCCCACACGAUGCCAGCCCUCUGCUGGCAGUGCCAGCGGGAGUGGGGUCACCGCAUCGCCGGGGUGGGUGUUGGUGUGGCCGUGCCAGCAGGACGCAGGGCCCAUCCACCUGCACAGCCGGCAGCGCGCAGCCCCGCGCAGGACAGCCUCUGGCACGCUUUUAUCUCCCUUAUUAAACCUAACAUUAGGUUUUAAGAGCAGCCUUAAAUAACGUGCCUCUGCCUUUAUGGAAAAAGCUGCUCCGAGUUGCAGCUGCUCCGGGCUCUGGGAUUUACUGCCUCCCUGAUGCCACGCUGCACGUGUGCGGGUGGUGGGUGCUGAGCUCCGACCGCUCCCUGCAGCCCCCGCCGGGCUCGGGGUGGGUGCUGGGCUCCUCCCAUCCCUCCCCGGUGGCAGCACGAUCCCGGGGUCACCGCUCGGUGCAGACGGAGCAGUGCUGAGGGGCUGCCUGGGCUGCGGGCCAUGCUGCUCACGCACACCGAGAGAAUAAUUAAAGUUUAAAUGCCAUCUUUUUUUGUCGACGGUGUGGUGGAGAAUAAUUGAGUGUAAUUGUUCCCAUUGUAACGGCGAUGGCAGAGCUCGGAGCGGAGCAAUAACCGCGGAAAUGUCAGCAGCCGGCAGCGCCGCAGCUCGGGCCGGGCGGUGGGGGCCGCACGCGGUACGGGGCGCUGCGGGGGCGACGGCGCG